rnacentral:lncRNA from 1 species
GUCUUCUCCUCAGCACAGAAACCACCCAGCGUAGAGAACACCAGUGCAUACAUACAAUCUCCACUUCCAUGUUGAACUGUGUUGCAAAGAUAGCCACUCCUGGAGCCACAGGGAAGACACCAUAUAGAAACGCAUAGUUGGACAGGCUUGUAUGGUUCACUACGCUGUCCCCCUUGUCCAGGAGUUCCACCAUUUCUCUGCACAGGAGGGGCAGCACCAGGCUGGAGACAGAAAAGAUACAGAAUGUACUUUAACACCAAUGCCUGUCUGUCCCUGCUUGCAACAGCACGGGUAAUGAUAACAAUGCAGCACAAUGAGACUGUAAAAAGCAGACGAAACUAGGCAUCUUAAUCAUUAGAUCUCCCAAUGUGUAAAUAAAGAUGAAGCAAAGGGAACUGAAACAACUGCGGGGAGCAGAAAACAAAGGGAAGCCAGACCUGGAUCUCACACCACAGCUGAUGCUGGCUUUGAACUCCCAACAGUCCUCUUGCUUCAGUCUUCUGAAUGAUGGGAUUACCAAUUCGUUUUAAAUUGGCAGAUAAAAACGGAUUUCCCAAGUCACCUGUGAACUGGGAAGCUGAGGAGCCAAUGCAGCCUUAAGAAGGAUGUUCCUUCCAACUCAUUAUCAAUACUCUUCCAUGGACACGACAGUGGGAAUUCCUAGGAGAGGUUGUAAAGCAAAGCAAAAGAAAGGUCUCUCUUCUCUACUCACCAUGAACAGAGGGGAAGGCAGAUGGACACAGACGCUAUUAACAAAUGCCCCAUUAGGGAGCAGACAUUUAGAAUAAUGUUCUGUAGCACAUCUUCCAUUUCACAGGCAGAUGAGAAAGCUGCCUAUAUGACUGGCUUUUAAUAAAGCGAUGCUCCACA